GCAUUACUACUUACAAUCCUCAUUAUAAAUGCGUUAAUUGUUAAUAGUUCUAUUAAACAAGCCAAAAAGAACGAACACGGUUGAACCAUUUUUCAUCGAACUGACGGGAUUUAAUUUCUAAGUCGUUUCAACUUUCAAUUAGAAUUUUCACGAUUACAAUGCUUUCUAAACUUCCAGUGGUAAUUAAGUUUGGGUGUUUACAACAAAACGGUGAUUUCUAAAGGUUGACUUUUUUUGAGAAUUGGCAAAACUUUUAUGAUAAACAAAAGAUAAAAGAAUAUUUACCAUCCGCGCAAAUUUACAUAUUCCGCGCAGGCUAACAUGCCCGUGCGUGAUAUCAGAUCAAAUGCGCUUUUCAUCAAGUAUUAAUUUUUUUAUACCACUUUAUUAACUGUGUUUAUCCUGAUCCACCGUGUCGACUUUCCUUGUGGACUAGACGACUUUCGAAACCCACGCGUUGACUGACUCUUUUCACACGCGUGGGCAGCAAGGCAAUGGAACACACCAAAGUG
rnacentral:lncRNA from 1 species